AGGGGCUGAUGUCAGUAAUGUGAAGAGGGCUGAUGCUGGCCUCGUCUUGGCUGAUACACUCAGGAGCUUCCUCUACGACCUGCAGGUAGAUGAUGGGUUGUCAGCGUUGGGAUACGGAACCAAUGACAUUCCAGCUCUGGUGAAGGGCACUCUACCCCAGGAGCGUGUGACCAAGCUGUCUCCCAGGGCUCACACUGAAGAGGACCUGGCUGAACUCUUCACAGCAUCCAUGAAGAUCUACUAACACACACACACACACACACACACACACACACAC